GGUUGAAUUAUCGUUGCUCGUGGUUCUGUUGUCAGUGUUUGGAACAUGUUUAGGUUCCAAAUAUAGCUCAUUGCUCAUUAAUGAACAUAAUCGAUAUAGAAAAGGGGAAAAUGCCGCCAACAUGCAGAAAUUGGUCUGGAGUCAAACUCUUGAACAAGAGGCUACUGCAUGGGCUGCAAAAUGUUCUAACAGCCAUCAACAGAAUGGUAGAGGAGAAAAUCUUGCAAUGCAAAGUGUUGGUGAAGAUAUAAAUGUAUUGAUAAGGAGAGGUAUUAAAAUGUGGUUUGAUGAGAAGAGAAACUAUGCCCCUGGAGGGGGUUUUAGUAUGUCUACAGGACAUUAUACGCAGUUAGUGUGGGCGGACAGUAAGCAAUUGGGUUGUGGUGUACAGAUAUGUAACCCGAAUUCAAAAUUCCCUAUGAAAUACAUGUAUUUAGUGUGUUUUUAUGA